rnacentral:rRNA from 1 species
GCUAAAAACUUAGCCCGACUCAACAAGAAUUACACAAAACCAAUUUUCUUCAUUUAACAAACCAUUUUUAUAUUCUAGUAAAGGUGAUUGAAAAACUCAUUGGAGCUACAGCAAUAGUACCGCAAGGGAAUAGUGAAAUAUUAUUCAAAACUCUAAGCAAGAAAAAGUAAAGAUUACAGCUUGUACCUUUUGCAUCAUGGUUUAACUAGUCUAAUCAAGCAAAAAGAUUUUGAGUUUGACUCCCCGAAACUAAGUGAGCUACUUCAGGGCAGCCAAAAGAGCAAACCCGUCUCUGUAGCAAAAGAGUGGGAUGACCCUCAAGUAGCGGUGACAGACCUAACGAACUUAGUGAUAGCUGGUUACUCAAGAAACGGAUCUAAGUCCAACCUGAAACAAUUUUUAGUCUACCAACACAACUAUUAGAUUUCAGCGUAAUUCAAAUAAGGUACAGCCUAUUUGAAACAGGAUACAACCUAAGCCAGUGGAUAAGAUUAGCCUUAUGAACAACCAAGUGGGCCUAAAAGCAGCCAUCUUUAGAAUUGCGUCAAAGCUUAAUUAUUAUCACGCCUAAUCACUAAAAUUUUAUCUUAAUCCCAUAUUAAUACUGAGUAAUUCUAUAACACUAUAGAAAAUUUUAUGUUAAAACUAGUAACAAGAAGAAGAACCUUCUCUUAAAUGUAAGUGUAAAUCAGAAAGGACAAACCACUGAUAAUUAUCACCCAUGAACACAAAGUAGUAACUAACCAAGAAAAACCUACUCUCAUCAACGUUAAUCUAACACAAGAACAUUAUAAGAAAGAUUAAAAAAACAAGAAGGAACUCGGCAAAUCUUAACCUCGCCUGUUUACCAGAAACAUCGCCUCUUGAUAAACCACUAAAAUAAGAGGUCCAGCCUGCCCAGUGACUCUGUUCAACGGCCGCGGUAUCCUAACCGUGCGAAGGUAGCGUAAUCACUUGUUCUUUAAAUAAGGACUAGUAUGAAUGGCACCACGAAGGUUAUACUGUCUCCUUUUUUUGAUCAGUGAAACUAAUCUUCCCGUGAAGAAGCGGGAAUAAACAUAUAAGACGAGAAGACCCUAUGGAGCUUUAAACAACAUAGCACUUACCACAAAUACAAAAAUUUCUGAAUCACAAAACCCACUAGGUAAAAUGUAUAUAAGUUUUCGGUUGGGGUGACCACGGAGCAUAACAUAACCUCCAUGUUGAAAGAAUCCUAUUCUUAACAAAGAACUACUUUUCUAAGCAUCAACAUUUUGACAUACAUUGACCCAAUUAUUUUGAGCAACGAACCAAGUUACCCUAGGGAUAACAGCGCAAUCCACUUUAAGAGCCCCUAUCGCCAAGUGGGUUUACGACCUCGAUGUUGGAUCAGGGUUUCCAAGUGGUGCAGCCGCUACUA